rnacentral:rRNA from 1 species
GCCUACGGGGGGCAGCAGUGGGGAAUAUUGGACAAUGGGCGCAAGCCUGAUCCAGCCAUGCCGCGUGAGUGAUGAAGGCCCUAGGGUUGUAAAGCUCUUUCAGCGGGGAAGAUAAUGACGGUACCCGCAGAAGAAGCCCCGGCUAACUUCGUGCCAGCAGCCGCGGUAAUACGAAGGGGGCUAGCGUUGUUCGGAAUCACUGGGCGUAAAGCGCGCGUAGGCGGAUUGUUAAGUCGGGGGUGAAAUCCCGAGGCUCAACCUCGGAACUGCCUUCGAUACUGGCGAUCUUGAGUCCGGGAGAGGUGAGUGGAACUCCGAGUGUAGAGGUGAAAUUCGUAGAUAGUAGGAAGAACACCAGUGGCGAAGGCGGCUCACUGGCCCGGUACUGACGCUGAUGUGCGAAAGCGUGGGGAGCAAACAGGAUUAGAUACCCUAGUAGUCACU